rnacentral:lncRNA from 1 species
GGAGUUUAGAUGCAAAGUUGAAAGUUUAAGAAAGUGUUUUCGGACCAGGUCUUUGUAGCUGUUUAUGCUGUACCCUCUGGCGGGCCUGUCUGUCCAUCAAGGAAUCAUUAAAUGGCUCUAUAAAUUUCAUUACCUAACAGUAUUCUUCUAAGUGCCUUAAUAUAGAGAUUAUACUGACUUUUAAAAAGUGUUCCAAUAGGCUUAAAACUCUGUUAAGAAUGGUGACAACUGUAUUUCAUUUAUAUUUCAUUUCUAGGCACAGCUACGCUGUAGUUUGUUUGUCUGCCUCUUUACAUAAAGUCUGUAAGCAUAUAAUGGGGGUCUAACUAAUACUCCUCACAAAUAUACGAGCCUUCAAAAAUAUUAUUUUCCCCACUGAAAUCCAUCCCAAAUCAAACAGAUUUGAAGGAGAAAUGAUGAAAAAAGAGCCUGAAUUCACUGCUUUUCUGCCUGUGCUGCCCUCUAAAAUCCUGGUGCAGCAGCAAGUUGCAUUUACCAAUCCCAUUGAUUUAUCAGUCAAUGCCAUUCCUGCUUGCCCUGGCUUGCUGUUAGCAGAGGGACUUGCGGUUUUAUGCCAGGCUGUGCUGGGUGCACAGCUCUGCGAUAUCAGUCCAGGAGAGCUGUUAUCUUCUGUGCUGGCGGAAAACAAACCUGAAUGGCUGGAGGAAGGCCCCUUUGUGCACUAUUUGCAUGUGCUGGGAUGGGGGGAUUAACCUGGGAGGGUGAUUUGGGGCGGCAAGCCCACCUGAGCCCAGCCACCCAAACAGAGCUGGAGCAAGCCCGGCUUUGGGGAUAUCCAGAUUUGGGCUGAUACAAGGGAACUGCCUCUGCACGGGGAAGAUAGAGCCCUUCAGGGCCUCUCUGCAGAAAGCUCUGGCUGCCCAGAAAUAUCCUCGGCCGGCUUCUGUUGGAGACUGCCUCCCUCUAGUGAGGGCGAGCGCAACGCACACGCACGGCCCGGUGCCUUGGUCUCCGUGCUGCGCGAGCUGCAGGUGCUGUGCAGGUCGUGGGUGCUGUGCUGGGUACAUCUUGGGUGUUAUUUUGCAUGCGUCUUGGGUGCUGUGCUGGGUACAUCUUGGGUGUUAUUUUGCAUGCAUCUUGGGUGCUGUGCUGGGUA